rnacentral:rRNA from 1 species
UACAGAGGGUGCGAACGUUGCUCGGAAUUACUGGGCGUAAAGCGCGUGUAGGCGGGUCGGCAAGUCAGGCGUGAAAUCCCCAGGCUCAACCUGGGAACUGCGCUUGAAACUGCCGGUCUUGAGUAUCGGAGAGGGUGGCGGAAUUCCUGGUGUAGAGGUGAAAUUCGUAGAUAUCAGGAGGAACACCGGUGGCGAAGGCGGCCACCUGGACGAUUACUGACGCUGAGACGCGAAAGCGUGGGGAGCGAACAGG